GUGGAAAUACAUAUUAUCAUGGUUGCAAAUGAGUCUCAAGCUGAUAGUGUUCUUUUUGGAAAUGCUGGUGCUGUACCAGUUUUAUCUGCUGGAACAUCUGUCAUCCUUUCUUCUAUAGUUUCUCCUGGAUUUGUGAUCCACCUCAACAGAAGAUUAGAAGCUGAAUGCUGACAGAUAAAGUUGGUUGAUGCUCCAGUAUAUGGUGGUGUCAAAAGGGCGGCGGAUGGGACACUAACUGUA